GUGCUAGCUUCGGCAGCACAUGUACUAAUAUUGGAAUGAUACAGAGAUUAGCAUGGCCCCUGCACAAGGAUGACAUGCAAAUUCAUGAAGCAGUCUAUAGUUCU